ensembl:lncRNA
AAAGGAGAACAUUUGGAAAGAUCUUUCCAAACGAUACCAGGACGCUGAUAUCAAGAGCUUCCUGGAGGAGGCCACCAUCUUGGACCCCCGAUUUAAAUCCAAAGUGGAUAAGGAUGAAGUCUGGCACAGGAUCAGGGAAGCAGCAAUUGCAGCAAAGACAGAGGCAGGAGCAGAUGAGCACCUGGAGCCAGGACACACACAGGGAGAGUUGUUCGAAGAUGAGGAUGAAGAAGACUAUGUAAGUUUAGUUCAUUGUGAUGAUAAUUUAAAUGUCAUGGAUUGUCUAUUUUUUGCUAAAUUUUUUAUCAUGUCCAUUUAAUUUCAGGUGCC